UACGGAGGGUGCAAGCGUUAUCCGGAUUCACUGGGUUUAAAGGGUGCGUAGGUGGGUUGGUAAGUCAGUGGUGAAAUCCCCGAGCUUAACUUGGGAACUGCCAUUGAUACUAUCAGUCUUGAAUACCGUGGAGGUCAGUGGAAUAUGUCAUGUAGCGGUGAAAUGCUUAGAUAUGACAUAGAACACCAAUUGCGAAGGCAGGUUACUACUAAUGGAUUGACGCUGAUGGACGAAAGCGUGGGUAGCGAACAGG
rnacentral:rRNA from 1 species